GACAUCAUUGGUGAGGUUUCUGAUAUCAGGACAACGUACAAUGAUCACGCUCAGACAACUCAGCGAGUGAUGGUUACUAUCAAAGUAUAUAACGAUGCAACUGUGUGCGUCAGUGUUUUCGACAGUGUAGCUGAGCUACUCCACAAGAGGCUGGAGGCUGGUGUUGUCCAACCUAGAGUGAUGGUGGCUACGAACAUCAAUCCUAAGUUUGUAGGAGGUCGACUUUAUCUCAAUGCUAUCUCUGGGACUCAUUUUUAUUUUGACGUGACGGCAAGCCGGACUCUAUUUUGACGUUGUCUUCCAAACCCGACAAUGACUCCACAAGUGGGAAG